GUGCCAGCCGCCGCGGUAAUACGUAGGGGGCGAGCGUUGUCCGGAAUUACUGGGCGUAAAGAGUACGUAGGCGGUCCUGUAAGCGCAUGGUGAAAGGCAUCGGCUUAACCAGUGUCAGCCGUGCGAACUGCAGGACUUGAGUGCGGGAGAGGAAAGCGGAAUUCCUGGUGUAGCGGUGAAAUGCGUAGAGAUCAGGAGGAACACCGGUGGCGAAGGCGGCUUUCUGGACCGUAACUGACGCUGAGGUACGAAAGCGUGGGGAGCAAACAGGAUUAGAUACCCUGGUAGUCCACGCCGUAAACGAUGAGUAUUAGGUGUCGGGUCCGCAGGGAUUCGGUGCCGCAGUUAACGCAAUAAAUACUCCGCCUGGGGAGUACGCACGCAAGUGUAAAACUCAAAGGAAUUGACGGGGACCCGCACAAGCAGCGGAGCAUGUGGUUUAAUUCGAAGCAACGCGAAGAACCUUACCAGGGCUUGACAUCCUCCCGAAAGGCCGGGUAACGCCGGCCCCUCUACGGACGGGAGAGACAGGUGGUGCAUGGUUGUCGUCAGCUCGUGUCGUGAGAUGUUGGGUUAAGUCCCGCAACGAGCGCAACCCUUGUCAUCAGUUACUAACAUUAAGUUGAGGACUCUGAUGAGACUGCCGGGGAGAACUCGGAGGAAGGUGGGGAUGACGUCAAAUCAUCAUGCCCCUUAUGUUCUGGGCUACACACGUGCUACAAUGGCCGGUACAGAGAGCAGCGAGGCCGCGAGGUGGAGCAAAACUGAGAAAACCGGUCCCAGUUCGGACUGCAGGCUGAAACUCGCCUGCACGAAGUUGGAGUUGCUAGUAAUCGCGGAUCAGAAUGCCGCGGUGAAUGCGUUCCCGGGUCUUGUACACACCGCCCGU
rnacentral:rRNA from 1 species